rnacentral:rRNA from 1 species
UACGUAGGGUGCAAGCGUUGUCCGGAAUUAUUGGGCGUAAAGAGCUCGUAGGCGGUCUGUCGCGUCUGCUGUGAAAACCUGGGGCUUAACCCCGGGCCUGCAGUGGGUACGGGCAGACUAGAGUGCGGUAGGGGAGACUGGAAUUCCUGGUGUAGCGGUGAAAUGCGCAGAUAUCAGGAGGAACACCGGUGGCGAAGGCGGGUCUCUGGACAGUUCCUGACACUGAGACACGAAGGCCAGGGGAGCAAACGGG